GUGAUUUAGUUGUCAGUUGUUCUAUAGCAAUUUGUUUUGAGGAUAUAAACACUUCAUCAACCUCUGGUUUAUUCCCACAAGACAUUCCCGGUUCCCCACCCAGCAUUUUACCUCUAUACAAGUUCGAAAUUGGCUUCUUUCAUGAACGAACAAUUAUUAUUUCAUAGUGCGUUCUUGUGUAUUUUACCACUUGGAUGCAGAAGUUGAAGAGGUUGUACUUUGGUUUAAAUGAUUAAGGGAGCUAUAAUGUGUUCCAUCUUGAAUUCAAGCCUUUGUUUUAAUUGUGCAUUAGGACAUGUUGCUAGUGGACAGUAUUGUACAUAAUAACAUAAAAUGUAACUUAUUUUUCGUUGUAUAUAGUAAUGCUACAAGAAAAAUUGCUCUUAUUACCCAAAAGAAAGAAAAAAUAAAUUGGUAAUUCAAAUUGCUAUUGAUCACUUCAAUUUUUUUAAUUUGAUAAACUUCCUAGACGUACUGUAAUAGCUGCAGUAGCGCAUGCAUAACACGUAUGCAUAACACGUAAAAG
rnacentral:lncRNA from 1 species